rnacentral:ncRNA from 1 species
UGCUGUUGCCAUAGUAACCGUCCUCUGUAGGAGAGGAACCACACUUUCAGACAUUUGACGUAUGCACUUGGCUGAAGAGCCAAUGGGGGAAGCCACCAUCUGUAGGAUUAUGAUCACUUCUAAGUCAGAAUCUGACCCCAGGUCAAUUGAUAUGGCUGCACCCUGGGAGCCGCAGUCAUCCUAAGCAAGCCGGUCUCCACACCCAGCAUCCCUUGGGGCAGAGUGUGCCACACCACACGUUGGGACUGGGGUCUGGUGUGGACAGCCCUUCACCGUGGGACACACGGAAUGGCCAGAAAGCUGGCCACCCCCUGGCCCAUCAACACCAUGCAUUCAUGGGCAACUUGGUGCUAAACCACCUGUAGCUGACCUGCUUCUAGGUCAGGGUUUCACACCUAGGACAGCAGCUCCCUCAUUGUGACCUAUUUAAAGUCAGCCCUUGACACAAGAUUU